rnacentral:rRNA from 1 species
AUACGGAGGGUCCGAGCGUUAAUCGGAAUUACUGGGCGUAAAGCGCGCGUAGGUGGUUCAGUCAGUCAGAUGUGAAAGCCCCGGGCUCAACCUGGGAACUGCACCUGAUACUGCUGAGCUAGAGUACGGUAGAGGGCAGUGGAAUUUCCGGUGUAGCGGUGAAAUGCGUAGAGAUCGGAAGGAACACCAGUGGCGAAGGCGAUUGCCUGGACUGAUACUGACACUGAGGUGCGAAAGCGUGGGUAGCAAACAGGAUUAGAUACCCUGGUAGUCCACGCCGUAAACGAUGUCAACUAGCCGUUGGGGGACUUGAUCCUUUAGUGGCGAAGCUAACGCGAUAAGUUGACCGCCUGGGGAGUACGGCCGCAAGGUUAAAACUCAAAUGAAUUGACGGGG